GCUCCAGUGGCGCAAUCGGUUAGCGCGCGGUACUUAUACAGCAGUACUAUCGGGCGAGAAAUGCCGAGGUUGUGAGUUCGAUCCUCACCUGGAGCA
rnacentral:tRNA from 1 species